rnacentral:lncRNA from 1 species
GCCCUAUUUAAUUUAACCUAGGAAUUAAAUAUUUACUUGAGAAAAAAAAAUUAUUGAGCUUAUCCAAUACUCUAAUGAAAUCAUUUGGUAGAUUGUAACACCAUUCUUUUCUCCACGUUUAUGUAAUUAUUCAUUUAGUGGAUGGUAAUAAAAGUUGUAGCACCAUUCUUUUCUCAAAAUUUAUGUAGUUCAAGUAUUCUACAGUUCUUUUCUCAGAGUUAUAUAGUCCAAGUGUUCUACAGACUCCAUUCAAACCCAUGGAAUUCAUCAAAUACGAAGUCCAUAGUUUAGGAUCAGCAACUCCCAAUUGUGGCAAUCAUGAAAGGUUGUGGACAGAAUUUGGAAGGUAAGCUUAUUGUUUAUGAGUGUAUUAUUCCUAAACAUUAGAGUUCUGGGUAAAUAUGUUUCCUGUAAGAAUUUUAUGGUGACUCAACAAUGCUACAUUGCAACCACACGAAAAUGAAGCGAUUUAGCAUUACAUUAAGGCCAUGUUUAUCGCAUAAAAUUAGUGGUAUCCUCAAUGCAAUGAUGCAACAAAAUGCCCAUUCUGGGCAUUUGCGGAGACCGGUAAGAUUUCUAUGACAACUUGACAAUUGUACAUGACAAGCACACCAACAAUGAAGAGAUUUAGCAUUCCAAAGAGGACAUGUUUCUUGGAUUGCAUUCAUCCUCCUGGGAAAAUUCAUGCAUUAGAUUCUUACAUUUUUCUUGCUUUUCCCAUUCUGAAUUGAUCCCUGACAGGGCUGCGCCUAUUUCUUCCUGCUGCUCUUGCCAGCGGCCUUGGCCUCCGCCUCGGCAUCCGGCUUGUCCGCCUCCACAAAUGCCCGGUUGAGCGAGUGCCAAAACUCCACCGCUCCAUCGUCCCAAGGCUUCACUCCAUAGAUGAGACAGUCAUGGUAGAAAUUGGGCUUCCCUCCAGACGCGCCCAUAUGGGGCUUGGAAUUGGGAGACGAUUGCCAGACAUAAAGCCCUUGCCAAGAAAGCACAUUCGUUCUAGCCACGGCAUAUUCUGUUUGCCUGCUAGAAUAUGCUUUGACAGAGAGAGACUAUUCC